UACGAAGGGGGCUAGCGUUGCUCGGAAUUACUGGGCGUAAAGCGCACGUAGGCGGCUUUCUAAGUCGGGGGUGAAAUCCUGGAGCUCAACUCCAGAACUGCCUUCGAUACUGGAGAGCUCGAGUCCGGGAGAGGUGAGUGGAACUGCGAGUGUAGAGGUGAAAUUCGUAGAUAUUCGCAAGAACACCAGUGGCGAAGGCGGCUCUCUGGGACGGUACUGACGCUGAGACGCGAAAGCGUGGGGGAGCGAACAGG
rnacentral:rRNA from 1 species